rnacentral:rRNA from 1 species
GAUGAACGCUGGCGGCGUGCCUAAUACAUGCAAGUCGAGCGAACGGACGAGAAGCUUGCUUCUGUGAUGUUAGCGGCGGACGGGUGAGUAACACGUGGAUAACCUACCUAUAAGACUGGGAUAACUUCGGGAAACCGGAGCUAAUACCGGAUAGUAUUUUGAACCGCAUGGUUCAAAAGAGAAAGACGGUCUUGCUGUCACUUAUAGAUGGAUCCGCGCUGCAUUAGCUAGUUGGUAAGGUAACGGCUUACCAAGGCAACGAUGCAUAGCCGACCUGAGAGGGUGAUCGGCAAACCUGGAACUGAGACACGGUCCAGACUCCUACGGGAGGCAGCAGUAGUGAAUCUUCCGCAAUGGGCGAAAGCCUGACGGAGCAACGCCGCGUGAGUGAUGAAGGUCUUCGGAUCGUAAAACUCUGUUAUUAGGGAAGAACAUAUGUGUAAGUAACUGUGCACAUCUUGACGGUACCUAAUCAGAAAGCCACGGCUAACUACGUG